rnacentral:rRNA from 1 species
GACGAACGCUGGCGGCGUGCUUAACACAUGCAAGUCGAACGGAAAGGCCCUGCUUUUGUGGGGUGCUCGAGUGGCGAACGGGUGAGUAACACGUGAGUAACCUGCUCUUGACUUUGGGAUAACUUCAGGAAACUGGGGCUAAUACCGGAUAGGAGCUCCUGCUGCAUGGUGGGGGUUGGAAAGUUUCGGCGGUUGGGGAUGGACUCGCGGCUUAUCAGCUUGUUGGUGGGGUAGUGGCUUGCCAAGGCUUUGACGGGUAGCCGGCCUGAGAGGGUGACCGGCCACAUUGGGACUGAGAUACGGCCCAGACUCCUACGGGAGGCAGCAGUGGGGAAUAUUGCACAAUGGGCGGAAGCCUGAUGCAGCAACGCCGCGUGCGGGAUGACGGCCUUCGGGUUGUAAACCGCUUUCGCCUGUGACGAAGCGUGAGUGACGGUAAUGGGUAAAGAAGCACCGGCUAACUACGUG